rnacentral:rRNA from 1 species
UACGUAGGGGUCUAGCGUUGUCCGGAAUUAUUGGGCGUAAAGAGCUCGUAGGCGGUUCGGCAAGUCGGAUGUGAAAUCUCCACGCUUAACGUGGAGGGGCCAUUCGAAACUGCCGUGACUCGAGUCCGGUAGGGGAGUGCGGAAUUCCCGGUGUAGCGGUGAAAUGCGCAGAUAUCAGGAAGAACACCUAUGGCGAAGGCAGCUCUCUGGGACGGUACUGACGCUGAGACGCGAAAGCGUGGGGAGCGAACAGG